rnacentral:rRNA from 1 species
UAAGUAGGUGGCAAGCGUUGUCCGGAAUUAUUGGGCGUAAAGCGCGCGCGGGUGGUUCCUUAAGUCUGAUGUGAAAGCCCACGGCGCAACCGUGGAGGGUCAUUGGAAACUGGGGAACUUGAGUGCAGAAGAGGAAAGUGGAAUUCCAAGUGUAGCGGUGAAAUGCGUAGAGAUUUGGAGGAACACCAGUGGCGAAGGCGACUUUCUGGUCUGUAACUGACACUGAGGCGCGAAAGCGUGGGGAGCAAACAGG